GCCUCCUAUGUCGUCUUCCAGACUGGAGACCCUUUGGAUGACCUCUUUAGCUUUGUGUAGGAUGAGCUGCAUCUUCUGGUACCAUUUCAGCAUCCAUAGAGAUGAAUCCCAAAGGACCAAGGCAUGCGAUGACAUUGAAUAUUACUGACAGUUGAAGGUGCUUUGAAGAAGAAGCAGACUCAAAAUCCGCUGCUGGCAGGUCCUCUGUAAUAUCCUAAAUAUUAGUAAAAGUGAUAGCAGGCUGUCCUCUGAGAAGUUCCCCUGGUUUCCAAAGGUGCCUGAGAAGAAGAAGAAAAAUAAAUCCAAAAGCUAUUUAUGGAUUUAAUAAAUUGGCAGUUGUUUCUU